GUGGGGGGGAGCAGAGGCGGGGCUGGGGUGCCCCUCGGGCUCUCGAUUGGGGGACGAAAUUUCUCGUGACUUUAUUGCUCCUUUAUUUUCUCUCAUGUGGGGUGGGGGGGUCCGUUCAGCACGGUCGGGGUGAGGAAAUGGUGGGUCGUCUGAGCCACCCGGCCCCUCUGGGACCCAGAGCGCGGCGUCCGCUCCGCCAGCACGGGGUGUCGAGGUGUUUUUUUUUUUAAACUCUAAAAUGUGAACGUUUCCUUCAGCCCUCCCACCGAAACCGAGAACGAACGACGAAACAAAUAAAAACCCCAGAUCAUCCUCGUCAACGCAGGAAAACGACUUAAAAAAAAAAAAAAAAAAUUAAAAAAAAAAAAAAAAAAAAAAAAGGAAAAAA